rnacentral:rRNA from 1 species
CGCCUCUUGCAACCAUAAGAGGUCCAGCCUGCCCAGUGAUUUAAUUCAACGGCCGCGGUAUUCUAACCGUGCAAAGGUAGCGUAAUCACUUGUCUUCUAAAUAAAGACCAGUAUGAAAGGCAUCACGAAGACUAAGCUGUCUCCUUUCUCCAAUCAGUGAACCUAAUCUCCCCGUGAAGAAGCGGGGAUUACACCAUAAGACGAGAAGACCCCGUGGAGCUUAAAACAUCAUAACAAUCGUCACACCACCUUUAACCACCCAGAUGUUCUUCCUUAUGACGCCCUGAUUAUAUGUUUUUGGUUGGGGUGACCGUGGAGAAAAAUCAAUCCUCCACAAUGAAAUGGACUUCCUAUCCUAAACAGCAAGUUACAACUUUAUGCAUCAAAAAAUUGACAUUCAUUGACCCAAUAAAUUGAUUAACGAACCAAGUUACCCCGGGGAUAACAGCACAAUCCACUUUAAGAGCCCCUAUCGACAAGUGGGCUUAUGACCUCGAUGUUGGAUCGGGGUAUCCUAGUGGUGCAGCCGCUACUAAAGGUUCGUUUGUUCAACGAUUAAAACCCC